rnacentral:rRNA from 1 species
AGAGUUUGAUCCUGGCUCAGGAUGAACGCUAGCUACAGGCUUAACACAUGCAAGUCGAGGGGAAACGAUAUUGGAAGCUUGCUUCCGAUAGGCGUCGACCGGCGCACGGGUGAGUAACGCGUAUCCAACCUGCCCACCACUUGGGGAUAACCUUGCGAAAGUAAGACUAAUACCCAAUGAUAUCUCUAGAAGACAUCUGAAAGAGAUUAAAGAUUUAUCGGUGAUGGAUGGGGAUGCGUCUGAUUAGCUUGUUGGCGGGGUAACGGCCCACCAAGGCAACGAUCAGUAGGGGUUCUGAGAGGAAGGUCCCCCACAUUGGAACUGAGACACGGUCCAAACUCCUACGGGAGGCAGCAGUGAGGAAUAUUGGUCAAUGGACGAGAGUCUGAACCAGCCAAGUAGCGUGCAGGAAGACGGCCCUAUGGGUUGUAAACUGCUUUUAUAAGGGAAUAAAGUGAGUCUCGUGAGACUUUUUGCAUGUACCUUAUGAAUAAGGACCGGCUAAUUCCGUGCCAGCAGCCGCGGUAAUACGGAAGGUCCGGGCGUUAUCCGGAUUUAUUGGGUUUAAAGGGAGCGUAGGCCGGAGAUUAAGCGUGUUGUGAAAUGUAGAUGCUCAACAUCUGCACUGCAGCGCGAACUGGUUUCCUUGAGUACGCACAAAGUGGGCGGAAUUCGUGGUGUAGCGGUGAAAUGCUUAGAUAUCACGAAGAACUCCGAUUGCGAAGGCAGCUCACUGGAGCGCAACUGACGCUGAAGCUCGAAAGUGCGGGUAUCGAACAGGAUUAGAUACCCUGGUAGUCCGCACGGUAAACGAUGGAUGCCCGCUGUUGGUCUGAAUAGGUCAGCGGCCAAGCGAAAGCAUUAAGCAUCCCACCUGGGGAGUACGCCGGCAACGGUGAAACUCAAAGGAAUUGACGGGGGCCCG